rnacentral:rRNA from 1 species
UACGAAGGGGGCUAGCGUUGCUCGGAUUGACUGGGCGUAAAGGGCGCGUAGGCGGCUUAUACAGUCAGACGUGAAAUUCCUGGGCUCAACCUGGGGGCUGCGUUUGAUACGUGCGAGCUUGAGUUCGGAAGAGGGUCGUGGAAUUCCCAGUGUAGAGGUGAAAUUCGUAGAUAUUGGGAAGAACACCGGUGGCGAAGGCGGCGACCUGGUCCGAUACUGACGCUGAGGCGCGAAAGCGUGGGGAGCAAACAGG